rnacentral:rRNA from 1 species
AUUGAACGCUGGCGGCAUGCUUUACACAUGCGAGUCGAACGGCAGCGCGGGCUUCGGCCUGGCGGCGAGUGGCGAACGGGUGAGUAAUACAUCGGAACGUGCCCAGUAGUGGGGGAUAGCUCGGCGAAAGCCGGAUUAAUACCGCAUACGACCUGAGGGUGAAAGCGGGGGAUCUUCGGACCUCGCGCUAUUGGAGCGGCCGAUGGCAGAUUAGCUAGUUGGUGGGGUAAAGGCCUACCAAGGCGACGAUCUGUAGCUGGUCUGAGAGGACGACCAGCCACACUGGGACUGAGACACGGCCCAGACUCCUACGGGAGGCAGCAGUGGGGAAUUUUGGACAAUGGGCGAAAGCCUGGUCCAGCAAUGCCGCGUGUGUGAUGAAGGCCUUCGGGUUGUAAAGCACUUUUGGCGGGAACGAAAAGGACUGUGCCAAUACCACGGUUCGAUGACGGUACCCGCAGAAUAAGCACCGGCUAACUACGUG